rfam:Gossypium raimondii Chr04_contig_31, whole genome shotgun sequence.
AGUUAAAAAAUCCAUCUAUUUGUGUUGUUAAAAACUAACAAGACUAACGAAAUAACCACGUAAUAAUAUGUGUUGUGUCACGUGUACCUGAUGCAUAGGGAUCAAUUUUUAACAAUAGAAAUAGAUGGAAUUUUUAACA